rnacentral:siRNA from 1 species
CCAUAUUGAACCUAGAACACCU